rnacentral:tRNA from 1 species
GUGUUGGUGGUAUAGUGGUGAGCAUAGCUGCCUUCUAAGCAGUUGACCCGAGUUCGAUUCCCGGCCAACGCA